rnacentral:rRNA from 1 species
UACAGAGGGUGCGAGCGUUAAUCGGAAUUACUGGGCGUAAAGGGCGCGUAGGUGGUUUAUUAAGAUUGUUGUGAAAUCCCUGGGCUUAACCUAGGAACUGCAACGAUGACUGGUAGGCUGGAGUAUUGUAGAGGGUAGUGGAAUUUCCGGUGUAGCGGUGAAAUGCGUAGAGAUCGGAAGGAACACCAGUGGCGAAGGCGGCUACCUGUACAAAUACUGACACUGAGGCGCGAGAGCGUGGGGAGCAAACAGG